GGGCCCGUAGCUCAGGUGGUUAGAGCAGUCGACUCAUAAUCGAACGGUCGUAGGUUCAAGUCCUACCGGGCCCA
rnacentral:tRNA from 1 species